rnacentral:lncRNA from 1 species
ACCAUCUCCCCCUCCGGCCGCCCCAUAUUCCUCACCUCCACUAUCCAAACCACUGCUUCCUCCAUUUUUCCGAUUGAACUUCAACCGGAAAAUUCAAACCUUCAAACAAAUUUCCAUAACCCUCUCUCCCAUUCCUGGGUUAUCUAGAGGAACCCUAGGUUUCCUGAGAUGAACCCUAACUAAUCCAAAGCCCAGAAACCCUUAACAUUUAAGAACCCUAACUGGGUUCUCACGAACCCUAAGGGUUUUGAGAAGAACCCCACCCUUAUCCAUAUGAACCUUAACCCUAUGUAGGUAGAACACUAACCCUAGCCUAAAGAGCCCUAGGUUUCAUAUGAUGAACCCUAACCCUAAUUUCCCAGAAACCCCCAAAUCAGACAUGAUUAGGAUCCAUAACAUAUCCAUACAAACAACAAUCUAACUUAAUAAUAAGGUUACGAAGACAACCCGUGGAAUGGAGUUUAAUUCGACGAUGAGGUAAGAUAUGUUCCCUUCGUCUCCUUUUGAUUUGAUUGCUCCUCUUUCUCUUUCUGACUUCCUCUCUACUCUCCUUUGUGCGAGGUUCCUGGAUGGUAAUGGAGGUUGAGCUUGGAGACUUUAGGGUUUCAAUAUGAAACCCUAAUUCUAUUUCGAUUCAAGCUUUAUUGGGAGAUUUCAGAUUGCAGCAAUUGAGGAUUUUUAGGAUUUUUUUUCAUCUUAUUCAUCUCAAUUCUUUUCGUUUUUAUAGGUUAAUUCUAGGUUUUAAGUUUUUAAUUAGAUUGAUUGUUUUUCAGGAAAUGUUUAUUUGAUUAUAAUUGUUAUUUGAUUUGGUUUAGAAAUAGGUUUAGGGUUUGGGAUUUGAUUGUAUCUGGACUGAUUUGUUUGUAAAUUAUUCAUUCAAUUGUAUUUGUUUUCAACAAUAGAAAGAUUUGAUUGGAUUUAAA